AUUGAACGCUGGCGGCAGGCCUAACACAUGCAAGUCGAGCGGAUGAGUGGAGCUUGCUCCAUGAUUCAGCGGCGGACGGGUGAGUAAUGCCUAGGAAUCUGCCUGGUAGUGGGGGACAACGUUUCGAAAGGAACGCUAAUACCGCAUACGUCCUACGGGAGAAAGUGGGGGAUCUUCGGACCUCACGCUAUCAGAUGAGCCUAGGUCGGAUUAGCUAGUUGGUGAGGUAAAGGCUCACCAAGGCGACGAUCCGUAACUGGUCUGAGAGGAUGAUCAGUCACACUGGAACUGAGACACGGUCCAGACUCCUACGGGAGGCAGCAGUGGGGAAUAUUGGACAAUGGGCGAAAGCCUGAUCCGGCCAUGCCGCGUGUGUGAAGAAGGUCUUCGGAUUGUAAAGCACUUUAAGUUGGGAGGAAGGGCAGUAAGUUAAUACCUUGCUGUUUUGACGUUACCAACAGAAUAAGCACCGGCUAACUUCGUGCCAGCCGCCGCGGUAAGAC
rnacentral:rRNA from 1 species